rnacentral:rRNA from 1 species
UACGUAGGUGGCAAGCGUUUGUCCGGAUUUACUGGGCGUAAAGAGCGCGCAGGCGGUCGUUCAAGUCGCGUGUGAAAGCCCCCGGCUCAACUGGGGAGGGUCACGCGAUACUGAUCGACUCGAAGGCAGGAGAGGGUAGUGGAAUUCCCGGUGUAGUGGUGAAAUGCGUAGAUAUCGGGAGGAACACCGGUGGCGAAGGCGGCACCCUGGGCCAGUCCUGACGCUGAUGCGCGAAAGCGUGGGGAGCAAACAGG